AAAGAGGUAAGUUAAUUAAACUACUGGGUUCAUACCCCAAUCAUAGAGAUUAAUAAUUCUCUCCUUUUUG
rnacentral:tRNA from 1 species